GACGAACCGUGCGAACGUUGUUCGGAAUCACUGGGCUUAAAGGGCGCGUAGGCGGGCUGCCAAGUCCGGGUGAAAUCUUUCGGCUCAACCGGAAAAUAGCCUCGGAGACUGGCGGUCUGGAGGGAGGUAGGGGCAGCUGGAACUUCCGGUGGAGCGGUGAAAUGCGUAGAUAUCGAGAGGAACACCUGCGGCGAAGGCGGGUUGCUGGGCUGACACUGACGCUGAUGCGCGAAAGCCAGGGAGCGAACGGG
rnacentral:rRNA from 1 species